CUCUUGAUUAGGGUGUUUUAUUUUUAUUAUUAUAGCAGUUAUUUUUAUUAUUAUAGCAGUCAUCAGUUCAUUAUGUGUGAAUGAUUGGUCCAAAAGAUCAGAUGCAUGGGAAGUUAGAUUCCCAAUAAUGCCAAGAAGUCUUGUGGGUAAAAAUAAUCUGGGGAUAGGUAUUAUAAUGUGACGUAGUACUGCUGGAAUACUUCCGCUAUCUUUUCUGUGUCAAGAACUGUGCUACCCUGGUUGUCUGUAUUUCUCAGUAAAUGCUUCCUGAUGUUCCUUCAGCACUUUUGCUAGCAGAACCCAACAUCUAUUGCCAUGCGAAUAAGAGGUAUGUUUGGUCAAUUUAUAUUUCAUAAAAUAUUUAUAGUGGUUUAAAGAAAGAGUAAAUCGUAUAACAGGAGGACCAAGAAACUUCACUAUUUGUUUAUUACCCGAUUUGUAAUCAAUGCUAUUGAGUGAGAUAUAGCUAUACUAUAUUGCGCUGAAAUUUGUUCCUACAGUGUCAUACCUGAACCACCAUCUGCACAGGCACUCCUUAUCUUUUUGGCUUGCUGUUGAGAAUUUCUUGUCAAUGAGAAGUCAGUUUACAAAGGGGCAUGUAAUUAUAUUUUGCACAUGUAGCUUAUUUGUAGUAUGG